GGGGAUUUAGCUCAGUGGCAUAAGCACCUGCCUUACAAGUACGAAGUUGUAAAUUCAAUCCCCA
rnacentral:tRNA from 1 species